rnacentral:rRNA from 1 species
UACGUAGGGGGCAAGCGUUGUCCGGAUUUAUUGGGCGUAAAGAGCGUGUAGGCGGCCAGACAGGUCCGUUGUGAAAACUCGAGGCUCAACCUCGAGACGCCGAUGGAAACCGUCUGGCUAGAGUCCGGAAGAGGAGAGUGGAAUUCCUGAUGUAGCGGUGAAAUGCGCAGAUAUCAGGAAGAACACCCGUGGCUAAGGCGGCUCUCUAGUACGGUACUGACGCUGAGACGCGAAAGCGUGGGGAGCGAACAGG